ensembl:lncRNA
AAAGUAUCUAAAACUGGUCACUUAAUGUUGCUAGAUGACCUCAUAAAGUUGAGUUCACUGAUCUAUGUGUAUACUUAUAUAGAUCAGUGAACUCACCUUUAGGACAUCUAGUGACAAAAUCACGAAAUUGACACACUGACAACAACAGGGGUUAUUCAUUGUAUUUCAUUGGUCCUCUUGUUUUUGCAUGUGUUAAUAAUUUCUUUGUAUUACAGCAUGGCCAAAAAAAAUAUGACAUUUAUUAUGAAAUUAUGACACACAAGUUUGCAUGUUUCAUUGCAUUAUUAUCACAAAUAAAACAACUGACUCUAAACAACUAUGCAAUAUGCAUACAAAAUCUUGGAUUUAAAAAAUAAUAAUAAUAAUAAUUAAGUAAGGGUAAAGAUGCCAAAUUUCCUAGGCCACACAUCACUUUUGGCCACUAAUAUAUAGCGGUUUAUUGACUUUUGUGAGGAUUGUGGGCUUUCAUGGAGUUGUUGGAGCCAUUGAUGGAACUCAUGUUCACAUCAUUGCUCCAACUGUAAACCAAUAGAAAACAAAGCAUCAGUAAUAAUUUGUGAUAAUUGUUCACAAUGCAAAGCAUUUAAAAAAAAUAAAUUUAAAUAUUACAAUAUUUCAGUGUCUUAAUUAAAUGACUUUAUUGUAAUUACAUUAAAUGAUUGCUGUUGUGCUGCUGUGGCUUUACAUGAGCAGGCUCACUAUUGGCUGAUUCAGAGGUUACUACUCGUAACUAAGAAUAUUUUGGCACUUAAAAGUCAAAGCUUAAGACUAUUCUUAAGAGCAUUUCUGAGAAGUUUUAUACAUAUGGCCUCUGGUGUGCCUCAUACGUCCUGAAAAGUGAAGCUGUGGGCUCUUUAAUCGCCUCCUGGUGGCAGGCUGCACUACAGGAAGACGUCACUUGCGUCAUUUUGGCUCAGCAUCAUCCUCGCGGCAGCAGGAAUGGAGAAGGCUCAUCAAGAGCGAUUGCAAACUGCCUUAAAAAACUUGCUGGAUUUUGUGGAGGAAGCACGGCACAACCCCACUGGUGCUCCCACUCAGCCAAGACAUAUAAGAACAAGUUCUAAUGGACCUGUUGGUGCCUUACAUACAGGAAACAAUGCAAUUUGUGGAAUGUCAAGUGUUUCUACUGAAAAAAUACAAAUAAGCCUUCACCAACUGUCAACAAUGAAAUGCAAAGGUUAGCUCUUAAUGUUAAUGGAAUAGUUUAUCAAAGCAUGACAUUUCUUCAUUUACUCACCCACAUGUUUUUUCCAAACUUGUAUGACUUUCUUCUGUGGAACACCAAAUAAGAGAUAUUUAAGAUUAUUUUUAAUGUAAUGUAGUGAACAUUCAGUUAAAUACUUUAUUUUUUGUUUUGCAGAAGAAAGACUGACAUGAGUAAAUAAUUUGUGAAUUGUAAUAUUUGGCUGCACGCUUUAAUGCUAAAAAACAGGGGUCUCCAAACAUGCUCCUGGAAAGCAACUGUUCAGCAGAGUUCAGCUCCACUCCUAAUCAAACACACCUGUACCAAUUAAUCAAGUGGUCCUGGGUUACUUGAAAAUGACAGACAGGUGUGUUGGAACUAAAGUAUGUAUGAAGGUAGCUCUCCAGGAACAGGGUUGGGGCUCUAUAAAUAUACAUUAUUUAGUAAAAAGGCUGUAUUGUUUAUGUUUUUUGCUUAUCUCAGUGUACACAAGUGUUAUAAUUUUAAUAAGCUGAU